rnacentral:rRNA from 1 species
GUGUCAGCAGCCGCGGUAAUACGUAGGGGGCGAGCGUUGUCCGAAUUUACUGGGCGUAAAGCGCGCGUAGGCGGGUUAUUAAGUUGGUGGUGAAAUCCCGGGGCUCAACCCCGGAACUGCCUCCAAAACUGGUAGCCUUGAGGUAUGGAGAGGGAAGUGGAAUUCCAGGUGUAGCGGUGAAAUGCGUAGAUAUCUGGAGGAACACCCGUGGCGAAGGCGGCUUCCUGGCCAUAUCCUGACGCUGAGGUGCGAAAGCUAGGGGAGCGAACGGGAUUAGAUACCCCUGUAGUCC